rnacentral:lncRNA from 1 species
CCUCUUUUAAGUGUUCAACAAUUUUGCUAAAGAAUAUGUGGGUUUUAACAGGUAAAGACAAUGAAAAUGAAUUUUGAUGAGCAUAUGCUGGUUGUGCCAAAAGUUUGGCUGUUUAUAUCCUGUCUGUUUAGAGCUGUACCUGCAUCAUUCUAAUGCAGACAUGCCCAGAGGUUGCACAAUGACUCUUGGAUAUUAGAUGCUUUUCAGUGCAUCCACAGUGAAGAAACCAAGUUCUUCAUACCGUAUGACUUGGAGAUUUCCAAUCAGGAGCUAAGUUAUAUAGUGAAACGAUCUGAGCAAUGGAGAGGAAUCAAUGGUGAAAGAAGAAAGGUGAGUUGGUCUGAAGGAGCUUUGUUUUUUGGACUGCUCAAAAAACCCUCACUCUGCUGGUAUAUCAGCAAGUUGAUGUUUCUUGUGUUGUUCUUGAAGUUAUUUACUGUUGUUUUGGCCACCAUGAUACAAAUCCUUACUAUUGUAUAACUGCCAUUUGACCUGAUUCUUUCUUACCUCUUCAGCCUCAUGUCCUGUAUCCUCAUCCAUCCGACCACUUCCCAGCCAGCAUACUUCUUGCCACAAUAUGAUUAAGCUAUAUAAAAAUAUGAGCAGUUCACUACACAUGCCAUACUGUUUCUCGCGUCCACGCAUUCCUCUCUGUUUGGAGCAAUAUCCUCCCAAUUUCUCAUGUAGUAUUUGGUAACCUAAUCAUUCUUCCAGGGCUCAGCUUGAG